rnacentral:rRNA from 1 species
UGGGGAAUCUUGCACAAUGGAGGAAACUCUGAUGCAGCGACGCCGCGUGAGCGAAGAAGCCUUUCGGGGUGUAACGCUCUUACGCCAGGGACGAUAAUGACGGUACCUGGAGAAGCAGCUGCGGCUAACUACGUGCCAGCAGCCGCGGUAAUACGUAGGCAGCAAGCGUUGUUCGGAAUUACUGGGCGUAAAGGGUGCGUAGGCGGCGCUCUAAGUUUGGUAUGAAAUCUCCCGGCUUAACUGGGAGGGUGCACUGAAAACUGGGGCGCUAGAGUGUGGGAGAGGAAAGCGGAAUUCCGGGUGUAGCGGUGAAAUGCGUAGAGAUCAGGAGGAACACCUGCGGUGCAGACGGCUUUCUGGAACAUCACUGACGCUGA